UCUAAAUUUGGAAUUGAGAUCAACAGGAGCUGGAACCGCAACAGAGAACAAGUCAAAGUCCCUGCCCACCUGAGGUUUACAUUCCAGUGGAGAGACUGAAAAUACACAAGUGAGCAAAGAAACAUGCAGCAGACUGCAGGACUGGCUUUGGAAACUCUUGGAUAAAAAUUACCCUAGAACCGAAGAGAAGAAGGAACCCAUAGAUAGGCAAAGAUUCUUGGACAUUCCCCUGAGAAAUAAAAAUGCUU
rnacentral:lncRNA from 10 species